rnacentral:tRNA from 1 species
GCCGACUUAGCUCAAUUGGCAGAGCAACUGACUUGUAAUCAGUAGGUUGUUGGUUCAACUCCGAUAGUCGGCACCA